rnacentral:tRNA from 1 species
GCCGGGAUGGCGGAACUGGCAGACGCGCUAGCUUCAGGAGCUAGUGGGGGCAACCCCAUGGGGGUUCAACUCCCCCUUCCGGCA